AUCACUUAGUGGUUUCGUAUCAUCAGUCAAGUUAUUUAACCUUGCUAAGCCACGGCUGGCUGAUUUGUAACGUGUGUCGAGAAAAUUAAAUGAGAUAAUGUAUACAAAGUGCCUGCCACAUAGUAAGGGUAUAAUAAAAGGUGGCUGUAUUAUGACGACGACGAUGAUGAUGUUUACUACGGCUGCUAUCAUCAUCACUAUCAUUAUUUUAUUUUGAUCCUUGCAGAACCUUUCCCACUCAACAUGUUAUUUGUGAAAAGUCUGGAAUGACAACCGACUGAAAUCUCUUGCUGAGAUUAUCAUAAAACGUGAUAUUUUUGAUGUGUGUAGUUCUGUAAGAUUAUUAUAAUGAUACCUACUACUGUUAUUUUAUAGUUAGAGAGCCUGUCAUCAUUUCCACUACAUUUUCUGGGAUUUAUAUCUGAACCAUAAAAGAGGUUUUCUGAGCUGUACCCUGCCUGAAAAAGAGCCUCGGUGAAAGUGAAGUGCUUUCUAGAACUCCGACACAAUAAAAUGAGGCUACGGAAAGGAAAAAAUGAGAAACCCAUCGUCUUCAUACGCCCACCCCACGCUUCCAACUCUUGCACCCAUUUUUAAAGGACUCUUCGGACGACUCUGGUGUUUUCCCUUCUCACCCUUUCCCCAAAAUGGUUAAAAUUCAAAAUGGAAAACAGCCAUCACACAUGGGCAAUGACUAAUUUUCCUAAGGAAUUUUAGUAUUCGGAAUGUGUCUGCUUGUGCAGGCCUGUGCGUUAAAGGCUCCCUGAGUAUGCAUUGACUUGAUACCCAAUAAUGGCUGCUAAGGAGCCGUUAUGUAGUGCCGUGUCAAUGAUCCGUGCAUUGAGGACUCCCUGAGUACGCAUUGACACGACAGACCGGAACGGCUCAGAAGAAGCUGUUAUGGUCUAUCAUGCCAAUGAUGUGCGGAUAUUGGCAGGGCCUCUGGCCCUUCCGUGGAAAUUACGGAGUCUCUGAAGGAACCGGGGCGGGCGCCAUGUGGGCGCCAUCAGUGAGCUAACAAGGGUCCCAUCCAUCCUCACUUCUCCUUGGGUUUACUUCAAAAAAGUCAGCUUGGAAAACUUGUCCAGUAACUUCAGUGGUCCCACGUUACAUCACCAAAACACAAGCAAGAGGUAGAGAUAUUCUUGCCAUUUAGUCUUUUCGUUUCUUCUCAGAGAAAGACACCGAUCCUGUUCAUAUUAAAAGGAGCAGAAGUCAAGAAGAUACCUGACCAGAAUGGAUUCAUCUUCAUAUUAAGUACAGCCUUACUCUAACCAAAUGAUCAUCGUGUCCCAUGCACUGAGCUACUCAUUCACGACAGAGAGAUGAUCAAGACUGCCCUCAAGGUGUUUGCACGUUUGUGAAGAGAGAAACAGGAAACAGAACUGUAAAUGCUGUGAUAAAGGUCAGUUCAAUAUAUUCUCAGAGGCAUAUUUUUUAGAGGUCAUUGCUCCUCUCAGAAAAAGUACUAUGCUUACUUCCUGGAAAUGAGGAGGCAUAAGACCAUGCCAAUCACUGUGACUAUUUCUUCUCCUUGUUUGUCUUUUAACACUCCCUAAAGACCUGAAAAGGAAUAAAUACCUCAGCUCAA